rnacentral:sRNA from 1 species
CCGCUACGGUCUACCUAGCUGUCGUGACAAAAAUAAUGAGUUUCUCGGUGCUCGACACCGAUGGGCGAGACUUUCUGCACCAGAUCCUAUUAACUUUUACAUGUACAGAUAAUUUGAAAUGGCUGAUGUGUUAAAGAUACGCUUAUAUUGACUGCCGUUGGAUGCAGAGCAUAAAGGUGGACCUGGGCGUCGAACGAGGUUCUUUGGGAGCACAUUCGUGCCAAGUGCGAUCGAUCCUGGCUGCAGCAAUUGCUGGUGGAAUCGCUGACGGGUUUAAGGAGCCAUAUGCUUGAAAUGAGGGUAUGUGGACUGGUAACUAGAUAUUAGAUGUUGUAGUCUGGUCGUACCGAAAAAAGUCGCCAUGCG